rnacentral:rRNA from 1 species
AGAAUCAACGCUGGCGGCGUGCCUAACACAUGCAAGUCGCACGAGAAAGGGGAGCAAUCCCUGAGUACAGUGGCGCACGGGUGAGUAACACGUGAAUAAUCUACCUCCGAGUGGGGAAUAACUGAGAGAAAUCUUAGCUAAUACCGCAUAACACUUAAGAGUCAAAGCAGCAAUGCGCUUGGAGAGGAGUUCGCGGCCGAUUAGUUAGUUGGCGGGGUAAUGGCCCACCAAGACGAUGAUCGGUA